rnacentral:rRNA from 1 species
GGUAUUCAAGACGAACUAGAUGCGAAAGACGUCCGACAGGAUGUUUCCGUUAAUCAAGAACGAAAGUUAGGGGGAGUCGAAGAUGAUCAGAUACCGUCGUAGUCCUAACCCUAAACGAUGUGGACCAAGGAUCCGAGGAUGUUAUAUGGAUGACUCUCCGGGCACUUUGUGGGAAAUCAUUGAGUAUUUGCACUCCCGGGGGGAGUAUGGCCGCAAGACUGAAACUUAAAGGAAUUGACGGAAGGGCACCACCAGGAGUGGAACCUGCGGCUUAAUUCGACCCAACACGGGAAACUUCACCAGGUCCGGACACAGUAAGGAUUGACAGAUUGAGAGCUCUUUCUUGAUUCUGUGAGUGGUGGUGCAUGGCCGUUUUUAGUUGGUGGAUUGAUUUGUCUUGUUAAUUCAGAUAACGAGCGAGACCUCAUCCUGCUAAUUAGUGAUGCGAACGUGGGCGGCCCUCGGGUCGUCCUCCUUGUUCGUACGCAACUUCUUAGAGGGACUCUCGGCGUCUUUAGCCCGAUCGGAAGUCUGAGGCAAAACACGGGUCGACGCGGCCG